UACGAAGGGGGCUAGCGUUGCUCGGAAUCACUGGGCGUAAAGCGCACGUAGGCGGAUUGUUAAGUCAGGGGUGAAAUCCUGGAGCUCAACUCCAGAACUGCCUUUGAUACUGGCGAUCUCGAGUCCGGGAGAGGUGAGUGGAACUGCGAGUGUAGAGGUGAAAUUCGUAGAUAUCGCAAGAACACCAGUGGCGAAGGCGGCUCACCUGGCCCGGUACUGACGCUGAGGUGCGAAAGCGUGGGGAG
rnacentral:rRNA from 1 species